GUGGGGACGCAUGUGGAGAGCACGAGCCGGGAAUGGAAAUACCGGUACAAGCGGAGAAGGAGUCUGGUUGGCAAAUCCGCCAGGCAAUCCGAAGACGUGAUGUGGAGCGAAUUAGAGUAGCGAAGCGUGUGAGCCAUGUGCCGAGAAAAGCCGCUAUUGUUUCAUGUGUGCCCGUACCGUAAACCGACACAGGUGGAUGAGGAGAGAAUCCUAAGGCCGGCGGAAGAAGCAUUGUUAAGGAACUCGGCAAAAUGACCCCGUAACUUCGGGAGAAGGGGUGCCUGCAAACGCAGGCCGCAGAGAAUAGGCUCAAGCAACUGUUUAGCAAAAACACAGGUCUAUGCGAAACCGAAAGGUGAAGUAUAUGGGCUGACGCCUGCCCGGUGCUGGAAGGUUAAGAGGAGAGGUUAGCGCAAGCGAAGCUUUGAAUUUAAGCCCCAGUAAACGGCGGCCGUAACAAUAACGGUCCUAAGGUAGCGAAAUUCCUUGUCGGGUAAGUUCCGACCCGCACGAAAGGCGUAAUGAUUUGAGCACUGUCUCGACAAUGCAUCCGGUGAAAUUGAAGUACCAGUGAAGAUGCUGGUUACCCGCGCCAGGACGGAAAGACCCCAUGGAGCUUUACUCCAGUUUGGUACUGGGAUUCUACUGCAUGUACAGGAUAGGUGGGAGACUAAGAACUUGGGACGCCAGUUUCAAGGGAGUCGCUGUUGGGAUACCACCCUUGCAGUAUUGGAUUUCUAACCAGCCGCCGUGAUCCGGCGGUGGGACAAUGCCAGGCGGGGAGUUUGACUGGGGCGGUCGCCUCCGAAAGGGUAUCGGAGGCGCUCAAAGGUUCCCUCAGAAUGGUUGGAAACCAUUUGAAGAGUGCAAAGGCAGAAGGGAGCUUGACUGCGACACCGACGGGUGGAGCAGGUAGGAAAUUAGGACUUAGUGAUCCGGUGGCAUAAAGUGGGAUUGCCAUCGCUCAACGGAUAAAAGCUACCCUGGGAUAACAGGCUUAUCACUCCCAAGAGUUCACAUCGACGGAGUGGUUUGGCACCUCGAUGUCGGCUCAUCGCAUCCUGGGGCUGUAGCAGGUCCCAAGGGUUGGGCUGUUCGCCCAUUAAAGCGGUACGCGAGCUGGGUUCAGAACGUCGUGAGACAGUUCGGUCCCUAUCCGGCGCGGGCGGAGGAUAUUUGAGAGGAGCUGUCCUUAGUACGAGAGGACCGGGAUGGACGGACCACUGGUGUAUCUGCUGUCGACCAACGGCAUGGCAGAGUAGCCAAGUCCGGAAGGGAUAAACGCUGAAGGCAUCUAAGCGUGAAGCCCCCCCAAGAUGAGAUAUCCCUCACAUAAGUGAGUAAGAUCCCUUGAAGACUACAAGGUAGAUAGGGCAGAGGUGGAAGCACGGUAACGUGUGGAGCUGACUGUUACUAAUCGAUCGAGGGCUUGAC
rnacentral:rRNA from 1 species